UAGUCAUAUGCUUGUCUCAAAGAUUAAGCCAUGCAUGUCUAAGUAUAAACAACUUUAUACUGUGAAACUGCGUACAGCUCAUUAUAUCAGUAAUAAUUUAUUUGAUGGUACUUUACUACACGGAUAACUGUGGUAAUUCUAUAGCUAAUACGUGCGUAAAGUCCCGACUCUGGGAGGCUUCGGCCUCGCUGGGGAAGGGAUGUACUUAUUAGAUAAAAACCAAUGCGUCCUUCGGGGCGGUUUUGUGUUGAUUCAUAGUAAUUUAUCGAAUCG
rnacentral:rRNA from 1 species